rnacentral:rRNA from 1 species
GACGAACGCUGGCGGCGUGCCUAAUACAUGCCAGUUGAGCGCUGAAGGUUGGUACUUGUACCGACUGGAUGAGCAGCGAACGGGUGAGUAACGCGUGGGGAAUCUGCCUUUGAGCGGGGGACAAUAUUUGGAAACGAAUGCUAAUACCGCAUAAAAACUUUAAACACAAGUUUUAAGUUUGAAAGAUGCAAUCGCAUCACUCAAAGAUGAUCCCGCGUUGUAUUAGCUAGUUGGUGAGGUAAAGGCUCACCAAGGCGAUGAUACAUAGCCGACCUGAGAGGGUGAUCGGCCACAUUGGGACUGAGACACGGCCCAAACUCCUACGGGAGGCAGCAGUAGGGAAUCUUCGGCAAUGGACGAAAGUCUGACCGAGCAACGCCGCGUGAGUGAAGAAGGUUUUCGGAUCGUAAAACUCUGUUGGUAGAGAAGAACGUUGGUGAGAGUGGAAAGCUCAUCAAGUGACGGUAACUACCCAGAAAGGGACGGCUAACUACGUG